rnacentral:lncRNA from 10 species
GCCUUUGCUUGCUCUUCACUUUCCGCCAUGAUUGUGAGGCCUCCCCAGCCAUGAGGAACGGGACUCUGACAUCCAACUCAUGGCAAAUGACAGAAUGACUGGAUAGAAAAGCAGCAAGGACAUACAGGAAAAUGACCUCACCUUGAGAAAGAACAUCUGCAACACGCCUACGCAACCUCAUGCUUAAAGGUGAAAAGACUCAACGCUUUCCCCCUAAUAUCAAGAACAAGGCCAAGACAUCCACCCUCUCUGUUCUUAUUCAACACAGUGAUGAAAGUUCAAGCAAGCACAAUAAAGAAAGAAACAUAAAUAAAUAAAAGGCAUACAGAUUGGAAAGGAAGAAAUAAAAUAUUCCAAGGAAUCUACCAAAAAUAAAAAUUAUCCUAGAACCACACAGAGCACAAGAUCAAGAUAGAAAAUCAUUUGCAUUUCUUUAUACUGACAGCAAACAUUUGGAAACAAGUUAAAAGCACAAUACCAUUGGCAAUUACACCAAAGAAAGUGAAAUACUAUGGUGCAAAUCUGACAGAAGAUGUAAAGGAUCUCCCUUCUGAAAAUUACAGGGGCCUUUUCUUAACUAGUGAAAGUUCCUUUGGGCUGUUCUCAUGUCCAUCUGGAAUUUUUCCCAUUUCCUGCCUGAAUUCCUGGAUUCUCGGAUGAUUCUUGUCUUCCUGUCAAAAUCAAGAGAUGUCAGAUGAGGACCAUGAUAAAGCCAGUUGUAAGUUUUCUGAUGUCUACACCAAGAAACUCACACUUAGUGGGAUGUCUGCUCUCAGGUAGAACCUAACCAACCAGUUAGGAGAUACCAAGAGCAUAGUCUUUAAUGCCUGGGAGGACGGGAGCAAGCAGAGAUCUUGGUUAAUAAAAGCGUUCAAAAAUCUAUUUGUGAAAUCAAUGUUUAUUCACUUAAUUAGAAAUAAAUAUGUAAAUAAAUGGAAUUCUGUCGAAUAAGUAAAACCCAAUUGUGGCACAUGUUCUAUUUUCCCUUUAGUUUUUAUUUUAGUUUUGGUUGUACAUAUGCAGGCUGGUUCUAUAGAUAAACUGUGUGUUACAGGAGUUUGGUGUACAUAUUAUGUUGUCACUCAGGUAAUAAGCAUAGUACCUGAUAGGUGGGUUUUGGAUCCUCACCCUCCUCUGAUCCUCCAUCCUCAAGUAGGCCCUGAUGUCUACUGUUCCCUUCUUAUCUGUUUUAUUUUAAGCACUUUUGUAUCUUAGCAAGUUGAAUCCUCACACCAAUUAUGUCAGUCGAACAUCAUUAUCCUCAUAAUAUACAUGAGGGAGCCAAAACCCAGAGAUAUUAAAUAACUGUUUGAAAACAACAAAGCUAAUAGAGCCUGGAUUUGCACCCAUAUCCCUGACUCCAAAAUGUAUACUCUUAAGCAAUAUGGUACCCUGCCUCCCAAAAUUCUCAGAACAUCCUAUUCUAGUAUAGUCAUGACUGCCAAAGCAGAAAAUAGCAUGUAAAGUCAACAAAUAUAAAUCAAAUAUCUUCAGUGAAGGAGAGACUGAAUGAUCCACAUCUUAAAAAUAUGGAAAUACAUGCAAGC